rnacentral:rRNA from 1 species
UACGUAGGGGGCAAGCGUUGUCCGGAAUCAUUGGGCGUAAAGCGCGUGUAGGCGGUUCGGUAAGUCUGCUGUGAAAGUCCAGGGCUCAACCCGGGGAUGCCGGUGGAUACUGUCGGACUAGAGUACGGAAGAGGUGAGUGGAACUCCUGGUGUAGCGGUGAAAUGCGCAGAUAUCAGGAAGAACACCAAUGGCGAAGGCAGCUCACUGGGACGGUACUGACGCUGAGACGCGAAAGCGUGGGGAGCAAACAGG